rnacentral:rRNA from 1 species
GAUGAACGCUGGCGGCGUGCCUAAUACAUGCAAGUCGAGCGAACAGAUGAGGAGCUUGCUCCUCUGACGUUAGCGGCGGACGGGUGAGUAACACGUGGAUAACCUACCUAUAAGACUGGGAUAACUUCGGGAAACCGGAGCUAAUACCGGAUAAUAUAUUGAACCGCAUGGUUCAAUAGUGAAAGACGGUUUUGCUGUCACUUAUAGAUGGAUCCGCGCCGCAUUAGCUAGUUGGUAAGGUAACGGCUUACCAAGGCAACGAUGCGUAGCCGACCUGAGAGGGGGAUCGGCCACACUGGAACUGAGACACGGUCCAGACUCCUACGGGAGGCAGCAGUAGGGAAUCUUCCGCAAUGGGCGAAAGCCUUACGGAGCAACGCCGCGUGAGUGAUGAAGGUCUUCGGAUCGUAAAACUUUGUUAUUAGGGAAGAACAAAUGUGUAAGUAACUAUGCACGUCUUGACGGUACCUAAUCAGAAAGCCACGGCUAACUACGUG